rnacentral:siRNA from 1 species
GUUGUUAUGAUUGUUGUGC